rnacentral:tRNA from 1 species
AAAGCCUUAGCUUAAUUAAAGUGUCUGUUUUGCAUGCAGAGGAUAUGGGCUAGUAUCCCGUAGGUUUUA